GAGGAGUAGGAAACAUAAAAAUGGAUUUUUUAAAAAUUUGUUUUCUGUGUAUUACAACCUUCAAUUGGGCACCAAGUAAAACCCUUUGUUUAAGAGAGGGCUCUCUCAAAGAAACGGACUAACGAAAAACAACACCAAUAACACAACAACUUGAAUUACCAUGAUGGAAAUUUAUGUUUUUGUCGUCCAAUCGGUCAUUAGUCAAUACUGACGAAUCAAAUGUUGACGUGAUUACAAUCAUCAAGUUGUUGUCAGCACAUUAAAUGUAUUUUUAACUCUGUUUUCUCCAAA